rnacentral:rRNA from 1 species
UACAGAGGGGGCAAGCGUUAUUCGGAAUUACUGGGCGUAAAGGGCGCGUAGGCGGCCUCUUAAGUCGAACGUGAAAUCCCCGGGCUCAACCCGGGAACUGCGUCCGAUACUGGGGGGCUUGAAUCCGGGAGAGGGAUGUGGAAUUCCAGGUGUAGCGGUGAAAUGCGUAGAUAUCUGGAGGAACACCGGUGGCGAAGGCGGCAUCCUGGACCGGUAUUGACGCUGAGGCGCGAAAGCCAGGGGAGCAAACGGG